rnacentral:rRNA from 1 species
UGAGACCGGCGCACGGGUGCGUAACGCGUAUGCAAUCUACCUUGUACAGAGGGAUAGCCCAGAGAAAUUUGGAUUAAUACCUCAUAGUGUUAUCGAAUCGCAUGGUUUGAUAACUAAAGUUCCAACGGUACAAGAUGAGCAUGCGUCCCAUUAGCUAGUUGGUGUGGUAACGGCAUACCAAGGCAAUGAUGGGUAGGGGUCCUGAGAGGGAGAUCCCCCACACUGGUACUGAGACACGGACCAGACUCCUACGGGAGGCAGCAGUGAGGAAUAUUGGACAAUGGGCGCAAGCCUGAUCCAGCCAUGCCGCGUGCAGGAUGACGGUCCUAUGGAUUGUAAACUGCUUUUAUACAGGAAGAAACCCUACCACGUGUGGUAGAUUGACGGUACUGUAGGAAUAAGGAUCGGCUAACUCCGUGCCAGCAGCCGCGGUAAUACGGAGGAUCCAAGCGUUAUCCGGAAUCAUUGGGUUUAAAGGGUCCGUAGGCGGUUUAAUAAGUCAGUGGUGAAAGCCCAUCGCUUAACGAUGGAACGGCCAUUGAUACUGUUAGACUUGAAUUAUUAGGAAGUAACUAGAAUAUGUAGUGUAGCGGUGAAAUGCUUAGAUAUUACAUGGAAUACCAAUUGCGAAGGCAGGUUACUACUAAUAUAUUGACGCUGAUGGACGAAAGCGUGGGGAGCGAACAGGAUUAGAUACCCUGGUAGUCCACGCCGUAAACGAUGGAUACUAGCUGUUGGGAGCAAUUUCAGUGGCUA